UACGUAGGGGGCAAGCGUUGUCCGGAAUUAUUGGGCGUAAAGCGCGCGCAGGCGGCUCUUUAAGUCUGGUGUUUAAUCCCGAGGCUCAACUUCGGGUCGCACUGGAAACUGGGGAGCUUGAGUGCAGAAGAGGAGAGUGGAAUUCCACGUGUAGCGGUGAAAUGCGUAGAGAUGUGGAGGAACACCAGUGGCGAAGGCGACUCUCUGGGCUGUAACUGACGCUGAGGCGCGAAAGCGUGGGGAGCAAACAGG
rnacentral:rRNA from 1 species